GACGAACCGUGCAAACGUUGUUCGGAAUCACUGGGCUUAAAGGGCGCGUAGGCGGGCGGGCAAGUCAGGGGUGAAAUCCCACGGCUCAACCGUGGAAGUGCCUUUGAUACUGCUUGUCUUGAGGGAGGUAGGGGCGUGCGGAACUUCCGGUGGAGCGGUGAAAUGCGUAGAUAUCGGAAGGAACACCGGUGGCGAAAGCGGCGCGCUGGAUCUCUACUGACGCUGAGGCGCGAAAGCCAGGGGAGCAAACGGG
rnacentral:rRNA from 1 species